rfam:Xiphophorus maculatus strain JP 163 A Contig73.52, whole genome shotgun sequence.
CUGACCGUUUUCCUCUGGUGUUCAGAGUUUCCAUCAUGUCUAGCACCAUUUGAAAUCGGUUAC